rnacentral:rRNA from 1 species
AUUGAACGCUGGCGGCAGGCUUAACACAUGCAAGUCGAGCGGAGAUGAGGUGCUUGCACCUUAUCUUAGCGGCGGACGGGUGAGUAAUGCUUAGGAAUCUGCCUAUUAGUGGGGGACAACAUUCCGAAAGGAAUGCUAAUACCGCAUACGCCCUACGGGGGAAAGCAGGGGAUCUUCGGACCUUGCGCUAAUAGAUGAGCCUAAGUCGGAUUAGCUAGUUGGUGGGGUAAAGGCCUACCAAGGCGACGAUCUGUAGCGGGUCUGAGAGGAUGAGCCGCCACACUGGGACUGAGACACGGCCCAGACUCCUACGGGAGGCAGCAGUGGGGAAUAUUGGACAAUGGGCGGAAGCCUGAUCUAGCCAUGCCGCGUGUGUGAAGAAGGCCUUUUGGUUGUAAAGCACUUUAAGCGAGGAGGAGGCUACCUGGAUUAAUACUCUAGGAUAGUGGACGUUACUCGCAGAAUAAGCACCGGCUAACUCUGUGCCAGCCGCCGCAGUAAAAC